CUCAAGUGAAAGAGAAAGGACUAUGGUGAAACAUAACUUCCAAAGGUAUGAAGCGAGCAUAGGAGAUAUUCCAGGCCAUACCUUGCACUUGUGAACUUUGAAGUGUCUAUCAUGCCAUCUUGGGUAAUUGAGGUAUGGAACGAUCUUUAAUCAAGUCACCUAUACUCCUUAUGUCAAGUAGCUUGGGAUUUUUCAAUAAGUUUCCAAAAUCAAACCUUGCUUAGGUCCUCAUUUGAUUCUCUCCGAUCACUUAAUGUGUAUAUAUCCUCACAAAGACAUUCGACAUUGCCUUUCUUCAUCCUACUCCUAAUGAUGGCUUAUAUGUGGAGCUCAAGGUAGGGUAUGAAGGAUAAGGCAUAUUUGUAUCACAUAUAUUGCAAAUUCAAAAACUGGAUCCAAAGAGAAAAACAAUUCAUAUGAUCAGAUCAAGAUGUGCACGUGUAUGGAUAUGGUGGAUGGUGAAUGGUGGAUGAAAUGGAAACUCCUUUUUGUAUGAUCCCUCCCCCUUUGUAAUUUCUUUUGAGACAUGGCUAUCUUUCUUUUUUUUCUUUUUUCUUUUUCUUGGACCUUCAUGUGUCCAACCUUUUUUUCAAUACUUGGACCUUCAUGUGUCCAUAUUUUUUUUAAUAGGCCAUGUCUCUUUUGUAACAAUAAUAGGAGAGGGAGACCAACACAUAUAAUGGAGCAUUUAUUUUGUGGAAUGGAUGGAUGGUACAAUGCUAACUCCUCAUAGAAGAAUAGCAAGGGGGUAUAUGGUGUGCACGUGAAUCUUGAUUAUGAAAUCAUGAAAAGAAUUCUUCACAAGGGUGACAACAAUUUUACAAAGCUCAAUGCAAAGACAAGCAGCAUAUGCAUAGGAUUUUCAAGAUAUCUCAUUAUAUGGCUUUGGUAGGACUUUGGAAUAUCAAAGAGGAGCUUGCAAAGGCUUUUUAAAAUUUCAAAUAAAUUUCCCAAGCACUUAAACAUCAAGAGUGAAGAUCAUAUCAUCAAACCAUAUCUCAAACAUCAACUCUUAGAUGAGCAUGCUUUCC
rnacentral:lncRNA from 1 species